UAGAAUUUCUGGAUCAAUUUGGAAACUAAGACUAGAAAAGAUCUGUGUUUCGUCAUCUGGAACCCAGGGAGAGGGUGAGGCACGUGGAGUUCCUUGACCCCUCAUCUUGCUGAAGCAGCAAGCAUGGGUGAGUGCAGAGAAGCCUCACGCACUCUUGGGCUACCAAGAGCUGUGCCAACACUGUUGUGUAAGUUGGCCAGAGAGGAACCCUGUAUACUGGACACUAAGUUUUUUACUUCUU
rnacentral:lncRNA from 1 species